rnacentral:rRNA from 1 species
UACAGAGGUCUCAAGCGUUUGUUCGGAUUCAUUGGGCGUAAAGGGUGCGUAGGCGGCGCGGUAAGUCGGGUGUGAAAUCUCGGGGCUUAACUCCGAAACUGCAUUCGAUACUGCCGUGCUUGAGGACUGGAGAGGAGACUGGAAUUUACGGUGUAGCGGUGAAAUGCGUAGAUAUCGUAAGGAAGACCAGUGGCGAAGGCGGGUCUCUGGAACGUUACUGACGCUGAGACGCGAAAAGCGUGGGGGAGCAAACAGG